rnacentral:rRNA from 1 species
UACGUAGGGUGCAAGCGUUAGUCGGAAUUACUGGGCGUAAAGCGUGCGCAGGCGGCUAUGCAAGACAGAUGUGAAAUCCCCGGGCUCAACCUGGGAACUGCAUUUGUGACUGCAUGGCUAGAGUACGGUAGAGGGGGAUGGAAUUCCGCGUGUAGCAGUGAAAUGCGUAGAUAUGCGGAGGAACACCGAUGGCGAAGGCAAUCCCCUGGACCUGUACUGACGCUGAGGAGCGAAAGCGUGGGGAGCAAACAGG